AAAUGAAUUGACGGGGGCCCGCACAAGCGGUGGAGCAUGUGGUUCAAUUCGACGCAACGCGAAGAACCUUACCUGGGUUCGAACGGCUGUUCAACGGCGGUGGAAACAUCGCUACCCCGCAAGGGGGUGCAGUCGAGGUGCUGCAUGGCUGUCGUCAGCUCGUGUCGUGAGAUGUUGGGUUAAGUCCCGCAACGAGCGCAACCCUUGUCCUGUGUUGCCAAGUCCGAAAGGGCGGAACUCGCAGGAGACCGCCAGCGAUAAGCUGGAGGAAGGUGGGGAUGACGUCAAGUCCUCAUGGCCUUUAUGUCCAGGGCUACACACGUGCUACAAUGGGCGGUACAAAGCGCCGCGAACCCGCGAGGGGGAGCCAAUCGCAGAAAACCGUUCUCAGUUCGGAUUGCAGGCUGCAACUCGCCUGCAUGAAGCUGGAAUCGCUAGUAAUGGCAGAUCAGCACGCUGCCGUGAAUACGUUCCCGGGCCUUGUACACACCGCCCGU
rnacentral:rRNA from 1 species